UUCAGCCCACAAUCUAGUAAGAGGCAGACAAAGAAAAUUGGCAAUCAUUAUACCCAACGACAAGAGCCACGCCAGGGGCGGGGGAGGAGGUAGGGCCCUAGCAUCAAGAAGCUUCCAGAGACUAGGCCAAACAGGACUUCAGCAGAUGGAUAGACAGUUCUGGGCAAGGCCAGCCCAUCGGAUCCUGUCUAGGGACAGGGAAUGCACAUGCCUACGUAGAAUGGCUUCUUUGGGAGGAGCGACAUCAUGGGGAAAACAGACCUCAGAACCUGGGAUCCAAGUGCUUGGAUGAGUGUCCCCUCGGCUCCGAUGCAUCUGAGCCAGCGCUGGACUAAACCCUUGGCGUGAUUAUAUCAUCUCCCCCUCCCAAGGACCCCACGGGGUGUGUGCUGUUCUCUCCGGACUUUCAGCAGAGGAGGAAACUGCAGUUCAGAGGCAUGGAGUGACCUUCCCUCGCUCGUGGAUCCCUCUUUCCUUCUGUGCCUCCCUUUCCUCUCUCCUUCCCAGCACUGCAGGCAGCGGCGGCAGCCAGCGGAGGCCCCACUGGAUGACAGCCGAGCUGAGCAGUCCUCGGAGCUGUCACUGAAGACAUCACACACCAGUGCCUGAAAUUCAAAUUAGAGUUUUGCUGAAGCUGCUAAAACUCCUCAAAUACUCUCUUUGAAGUCCCCUAGCAAGCUGGCCACUGCUCUUAAAGGAGUCCCUGCUGGAAAUGAGAUGGUGGCCAGAGGGUGCAGGCAGGGCCACCAAGCCAGGGACUGGGAGUGGGCUCCCCACACGCCCUGCCUCCAGUGGUCACCCCUUGGAACCCCUGCAGAGCAUACUCAC